GUACGAUCACAUUACUCUUCCAUCCUACGGACAUUUGCUCCCGCUCACACCCAUCGAAGCCGACGCAGCAGACGAAUUUAAGCGCAGGUUUCCUGUUUUGCUGCGACCUCCAGACAAGUGUGACGGACUCACAGACUUCGCAGCAUUGAACAGACCUUGGAUCGUACACGCCGGGUGUCCGACAUGACUGCCCGGAGCAGGACUGCAGCAUCAUCAGCCGGUAGUUCAUCUUCUCCAGGAAGUCCUGGCCGAUGGAGUCUGCGAUAUUCGUUAACUGAUCAUAUUAUGGUUACAUCUCCCCGUCCCUUCGUACCGACACUCCGGGUCCCAGCAGAGGACAGGCGGGGUCGGAGACGUUGCUUCCCUCUCCUUCGUACUCCACCAGGAUGUCUGUCCUCCAGCUGCUGCUGUUCAUCCUCCCCUCCUUGUGACACACACACACACAGAUGUACACAAGUGUGGUAUUGUACAUAUUAUUAUAUUUAUGGCAAAUAUCCACUGAUAACAGCUUUAAAAUACUGUCACUCUAAUUUAAUCUUAUCUGAAUAAUAAUAAUAAUCAUCAUCAUCAUCAUCUUAACCUCAAUUGCAAGACUAAUUAUUAUUACCUAAGCUCUUGUUUAUGAAGAUUAUUAUUAACCCUUGACAGAAUAAAUGAAAUGAACAUUUUGGGCUGGUAGUGUGACUUAAGUGUAAAAACGUUUAAGUUCAGUGAUCUCACCAUAACGGGCAGGAAGGACAUGCCGUCCAUCUGCGUCUUGCUGACGUUGAGGCCGGCGAUGUCCAGGAUGGUUGGACCAAGGUCAACAUUCGCCACCAGCAUCUGACAACAUGAUGAAUUCAGUUUAGCUCAGGCCAACACAGACUCCAGGGAAGGCAGAAUAACACAGCAGAAUGGAUGUACUGUGUCUGAGGGGUUUGAUAUAUAUAAAGGAAAAAAAAACAAACCUACAGAAACAUGUUGUUCUAUGUAAGUGGUGGAGUUUACAGUCACAUUAAUAUAAAUGUCAUCCCCAAUAACCCACAGUGAACAUUUAUGCAGUGAUCAAAUAAAUAUCUAUGACUUUAAGUGCAGUUUUGAUCAGGUUUACAAACUACAUUCACAGGUAAUAACCCGCUAAAAAUAAACACAUUAAAGCCAGUAAAAAAAAAAAAAAAAAAAGAUAUUAUGCUCUAAUCUUAGUUAUAGAAACAGGUGCAGUCUGAAGCUUGAACAUAACACAGGUGUGUGCAUGUUUGUCUGUACCUGGCUGGUCUGGUUGGGUUUGAUAUUUGGUCCACGGACCAUGAGAGGAACCCUGAUGUCAAACUCGUAGAGCUGCCUCUUAUCUAGAGGAAGAGAGAACUGACCUGAAAGAAAAAAGAAAAACAGAGUAUGAAAACAAAGAAACAGAGCACACACCUCCACAAAGACUCUAUAAAGUCAUUACUUUCACAAAACUUGUUUUAAAAUAUCCUGGUGACUAAUCACACAAACAGGAUCAAAACAUUUUCUCCUUGGUAAAGGUAAAGACAGUGGACAGAUUUAUGUGUCUACAUGCACGUACAUACCAGUGUGGUACCCGUUGUCAGAGGUAAAGAAGAUGUACGUGUUGUCCAGUUCACCUCUGACCUCUAACCUCUUCACUAUCUUCUCCACCAGGUCGUCCACUGACAGCAGAGUUCGCCACCUACAGGUCAGGAUGAACAACAAGAAACCUGCAGUGUCAUAAGACUGUGAAUGUCAGUGUUACAGCACAGAGGCUUUUCAGAAUAAAGUGACGUCCCAAAUACAAAAACCCCAGUGUGAGAAGUGUUUUUGUUCAUCAAAGCAGCUGAGUCUAUCUGUUCUAAGGUAGGUCUAAAGGUGCAUAAAUCACAUGAGGAAAUGACACGUGUCCCUCUCUCUUUAUGUAAAAGUAAAGCAAGCGCUGACAGAAGAGAAGAGGUGUGACGAGGAGCUGAUACUGGAGAGAAAGCAGAGGAAGAGAUGGAAAGGACAGAGGAAGGAGAGGAGGUGAAGAGACUGACCGUUUCCUGAAGGCGUCAUCCAGAAACUGGACAGAGGAGUUGGACAUGGGGGUUUUAGCCUGUCUGA